rnacentral:rRNA from 1 species
GGCGGCGUGCUUAACACAUGCAAGUCGAACGAAGCUGCUUAAAGGAAGUUUUGGAUGGAAUUUAGGUAGACUUAGUGGCGGACGGGUGAGUAACGCGUGGAUAACCUGCCUUAUACAGGGGGAUAACGGAGAGAAAUUUUCGCUAACACCGCAUAAGACCACAGCACCGCAUGGUGCAGGGGUAAAAUAUUUAUAGGUAUAAGAUGGAUCCGCGUCCGAUUAGCUAGUUGGUGAGGUAGAGGCUCACCAAGGCGACGAUCGGUAGCCGGCCUGAGAGGGUGAACGGCCACAUUGGGACUGAGACACGGCCCAAACUCCUACGGGAGGCAGCAGUGGGGAAUAUUGGACAAUGGGGGAAACCCUGAUCCAGCGACGCCGCGUGAGUGAAGAAGUAUUUCGGUAUGUAAAGCUCUAUCAGCAGGGAAGAAAAUGACGUACCUGACUAAGAGCCCCGGCA